GAUGAACGCUGGCGGCGUGCCUAAUACAUGCAAGUCGAGCGAACAGACGAGGAGCUUGCUCCUCUGACGUUAGCGGCGGACGGGUGAGUAACACGUGGAUAACCUACCUAUAAGACUGGGAUAACUUCGGGAAACCGGAGCUAAUACCGGAUAAUAUAUUGAACCGCAUGGUUCAAUAGUGAAAGACGGUUUUGCUGUCACUUAUAGAUGGAUCCGCGCCGCAUUAGCUAGUUGGUAAGGUAACGGCUUACCAAGGCGACGAUGCGUAGCCGACCUGAGAGGGUGAUCGGCCACACUGGAACUGGGACACGGUCCAGACUCCUACGGGAGGCAGCAGUAGGGAAUCUUCCGCAAUGGGCGAAAGCCUGACGGAGCAACGCCGCGUGAGUGAUGAAGGUCUUCGGAUCGUAAAACUCUGUUAUUAGGGAAGAACAAAUGUGUAAGUAACUAUGCACGUCUUGACGGUACCUAAUCAGAAAGCCACGGCUAACUACGUG
rnacentral:rRNA from 1 species